ensembl:snoRNA SNORA70 Small nucleolar RNA SNORA70
CUGCAGCCAAUUAAGCCAAGCAGGUUCUUUUACUUCUGGCUGCUCAGUGUGCAGUGGCUAAACACAGCAGCUGUCCUAGCUGUGUAUGCAGAUUGCUGCUUGUGUGAUUGCCUGAAGGGACCCUGAAGAAGCAC